ACAAACGUUAUUCGGAAUUACUGGGCUUAAAGGGUGCGUAGGCGGCGCGGAAAGUUGGGUGUGAAAUCCCUCGGCUCAACCGAGGAACUGCGCCCAAAACUACCGUGCUCGAGGGAGAUAGAGGUGAGCGGAACUUAGGGUGGAGCGGUGAAAUGCGUUGAUAUCCUAAGGAACACCCGUGGCGAAAGCGGCUCACUGGGUCUCUUCUGACGCUGAGGCACGAAAGCUAGGGUAGCGAACGGG
rnacentral:rRNA from 1 species